rnacentral:rRNA from 1 species
ACGUAAUAGAUACCCUGGUAGUCCACGCCCUAAACGAUGUCUACUAGUUGUUGGUGGAGUAAAAUCCAUGAGUAAACGCAGCUAAACGCGUGAAGUAGACCGCCUGGGGAGUACGGUCGCAAGAUUAAAACUCAAAUGAAUUGACGGGGGCCCGCACAAGCGGUGGAUUAUGUGGAUUAAUUCGAUGCAACGCGAAAACCUUACCUGGCCUUGACAUGUAACGAACUUUCCAGAGAUGGAUUGGUGCUCGAAAGAGAACGUUAACACAGGUGCUGCAUGGCUGUCGUCAGCUCGUGUCGUGAGAUGUUGGGUUAAGUCCCGCAACGAGCGCAACCCUUGCCAUUAAUUGCCAUCAUUUAGUUGGGCACUUUAAUGGGACUGCCGGUGAC